rnacentral:lncRNA from 1 species
AUUUUAUCUUUUCCACCCAUAAAACGUAAAUAUAAGGAAUAAUUUUGAAUGGUGACAAAUUAGGGGAAGUAACUCUAACUCUAUUUGUAAACAAAUGUAGAGCAGUUUAUUUACGACCUAAAGCUAAGGUAAUUGGUGUUAAUUAACAGUGUGUUUGACACCAAAGCUGUGAAGUAAAGCCAUGCACUUAAUGGGUCACUUAAAUUGACAGUUUACAUAGCUAGAUGAAGUUCCUGUUCAUGGAAGAAUUACGAAUUUGCCGGUAUUUCAAAAGAAUAUUACUUAUGAAAUCAAUCGCAAGGCUAAGAAAUACGGGUGAAAUCGGGUCAUUUUCGGAAUUCCCGGGUGAUUUCAAUGACCCGGCGGGUGUCCCGGGUGAUCCCUCAGAAUUGUGAAAAUCUCGGGUCACACCCGCAAAAAACGGGUCAGUUGACUGGUAUG